CACUCAUGGUAAAACAACGGCAUAAUCCCACCCUGAUUCCAUAGCUUGUCUUGAAAUCAGAGGAAAAUCUCUAUGUUCUAUCUCAAAAUUGCCUGGUAGGGCAAUUUGGAGGGAAUCACUGUAUUUCUGUGGUAACUAAUGACAAGGCUCAUACUUGUUUCAAAGAGGUGCCACUCCCAGUGGAUUCAUGUGUGAUUCACAAGCAGAAAACCAGCAGCUGACAGUGACAAUUUUCACCUCAUCCCAUGGAAGAGGCUUGCAGGUCUAAUUCAAGAACUUUAUGUGGCAAAAUGAAAAACAUUUCUCCUAGAACAGUUGCAGCAUGGACUUCAGAUCAAAUGGUAUGAGGAUCUUCAGUUGUUUUGCCAGAAGCCAACCACUUGAGAUCACCCCGGAAACCAAUACCUUAUUUAAAGACUCUCCAGUGGGAUUCCUCUGGAUGAACGCCGGGGACUGUUUCUGGUAGGAGAGUGUCUGUUUUGGAGGGUGGGGUG
rnacentral:lncRNA from 1 species